UCCUUGUUAAAGAAGAUGGAUGCAUUACACCUGAUUGAUUGUUUUUAGGUAUUUUAUUUAGAGAUCCCAAUGGCCUCUAACACAAGUUUAUGUGGGAUAUGUUUACUUCGACAGAUAACGAAAACAUCGAAACACUGGUGCCCGCAAUGUGAAGAAGCUAUUUGUGAUGAGUGCAGAGAGUACCAUAAGUUACUAAAAGUUACACGAAGUCACGAACCUAUACCAAUUUCGAAUUACAAAUCAAUUCCGUCAUUCAUAACUGACAUACAGCAAUCAUGUAUCUAUCAUAAUGAAAUAUAUCAACAAUAUUGCGUUGAACAUGCGUUACCGAUUUGUUUCAAAUGCAUUAAUGACCAUCAUAAAUGUAACGUCACUACUCUUGAGAAAGUCACUAAUAAUGUCAAGACGUCUGAGCAAUUUUUAGAUUUAGAAUCAAGACUCGACGACUUAUUACAAAACAUUGAUAGAAUUAAAAAGGACAGAAAUUCUAAUGUGACUAAAAUUGAAGAAAUGAAAACGCAACUUGUUAAAGAAAUUCGACAGAAAAGAGCGGAAAUAAACAAACACUUAGAAAAUUUAGAGAAACAAGUUAUUAAAGAUCUUGAAGCGAAAGAGUGUCAAUGUAAGGAGAGUAUUCAGCAGGUUUUAUCGUCAGUUAUAGAAAAAGAGACCAUGAUAACUCAAUGUCUGACCAAUUUUCAAAGCAUCAAACAAUAUGCAUCCGAUCUUCAAACAUUUCUUGGAAUAAGAGAAAUUGAGGUGAAAGUUUACAAAAAUGAACAAUAUCUACAGUCAUUGAUAGAAGCAAAAGUUUGGGGCAGCUUGAACUAGUGUGGAAGGUAGACCCAGUUGUGCAAAGUAUUUUAAGCAGUUUAAAGAACUUUGGAUCAAUUGAAAUGAAAACAAAAAUAAGCAACAUUGAGUUUACUAGAACUAAAAACAAACAAGCACAGUUACAAGUAGCUACGGCGAAAAAGACUAUUGACGAUGUGAAGUUGAUUCUACAGAAGAAGAUUACAACAGACCUAAAUACAGUUAGGGGUUGUUGUAUGUCAGAAGAGGGGGACCUUUUGUUCACUAGUCACAGCUCACAAAAAUUUGUCACCGUAUUUGCAUCGGAUAAUAAACUCAAAUAUACUAUACUACUAGAUCCUAGUUAUGGGUUUGACAUAGCACUGAUUGACGAGAAAACUGUUGCCAUAACUACUGGGAAUUCAGGAAAAAAGAUCGGUGUGCAUAUCAUAGAUAUAAAGAAUCGAAGCAAACAAAAGUUCAUCAACCUUUCUGGUCGUCCAUAUGGAAUUACCCGAGAUCACGACUCGCUAUUUGUCUGUGUACAAGAAAGUGGUAUAUACAAAAUUAAUACUUCGGACGGCACUACAACUCACGUGAUCAGUUGUAGCCUACCGUCACAUUCCUACGUUUCUGUUUUCUCCGACAAGAUAUACUACACUAACUAUGACGACAACAGUGUAGAAUGUUGUGAUCGUAAUGGAUCACAUCUUUGGACUUUUAAAGAGGAAUUGGUUUUGAAGGAACCGCAAGGCAUCGCCGUUGAUAUUAAUGGAAACUUUUAUGUUGUUGGCGAAAAAUCAUCGAAUGUAGUCAUUAUAUCAAACGAUGGAAAGCACCACAAACAAAUCCUGACCAAAAAUGACGGUCUACUUUCUCCUUCUGCUAUUUUCCUUGAUACAGAGAACAGAAAACUUCUUGUUGCAAAUACCAAGAUAACUGCUUUCGUUUACAAUAUUUUGUAAGAAUUAUUGGAAAGAGAUGCAUAUUAAUUAAGUGUUUUAAACAAAACAGUACUAAUUAUAUUGAUGAAGAUAGGAAAACAAGCGGUUCAUAAGAAUGUUAUAAAAUUGAAAGUUGAAUAAAGUAAUUUUAAUGUAAGUAAUUAA